GAUACAAACCCAUAUGGUUAUGGCAUCCAAGGGGGAGUGUUAUAAAUCAUUAAGUGGAUGGGCCAUAACCAAUGACCAAGACAAGGCCCAAACCGUGGCCGAAGGAGGAGAGAGAGAGGCGGUCGUCCGAGGAGAGAGAGUCGGCACUGCCUUUAGGACGUUUUCCUUUUCUAUGUUUUAGAUAUUUUCUUAUUUCAUGUUGUAUUAGGUUUUAGAUAAUUUCUUUUUUCCUAUACUUUGUAAUUCCUAUAUAAAGAACAUAUAUUGUUCAUUAAUAAUACACAGACAAUUCCCCAUUCUUUUACAUCAAUAAUAGAAUUCUGCAAUUGAUUUUUAGAAUUAUUUACAAGAAAAUGGCACUGCCUUUUUGGAUUUUUUAUAAUUAAUUCGCUUACCAUAAUUAUAGCCAAUCAUAAAUCACGUUUUUUUUCUUCUCAAUUAUAGCCAAACAGUAUUAACCAAUCAUAAAUCACGUUUUUAUCUUCUCAAUUAUAGCCAAACAAUAUUUAAUAACUUUCUAACUUCUCAAGUUUUUAAAGUAAAUUCGCCGGCCAUAAUCAAUUCUAUUAAAACAAGAUCAUGUUAUGUCCAACUAUAUAUUCCAUUUCUUUAAAGAGCCUCUUAUUAUUUUCUUUAUAUAAUUAUAUCUAAUUUUAUUUAAACAAUAACCACUACAUUAGGGCGAUUAUCAACAAGUAAAAAAAAACUAAUCCUACCUUAAUAUACGUUCUAUAACAAUAACACUAAAUUUUUCUAUAAAUACACAUUAGCCACUACGUUAGGAUAAUCCUACGUUAUAUAACUAUAUAUAAAUUAAAUUUCUUUAAUAUAUAAGAGAAAAAUUACAUAUUUAUAGAAACACAAAAAAAAAUUACAAACCAACAUUAUAACCGCGAAUCAAGAUCUAGAACAUAAAUAUAUGAUUACAAAGAAACGAGUAUACAAGCGUAUUGAUUACAAAGAAUCGAACGUAUGUCGAAUCAACUUUUAAAAUUGUUAUCUUAUAUAUAUAAAGUAGAGUUGUGCUCUACGCACAGCCCUCCACGUCAGCAAGGAGGAAGGGGCGUUUUGUGCCACGUGUCAAGCAUUAUUCAAUCUUCCUAUUUUGUUCUCGCGGUCGAAUUGAGUUACAUAUGGGCUUUUAGUUUAUUUGGCCCUUUUUAUAUCAUUAUUAGGUCCCAGGUUACAUAGAGUUCUUUGGAACAAAGAAACUGCAUCUAUUAUUGCCGUGUCCGUUCGGUUCUCAUCUUUCCGAUCUACUUCUCUGUAACGGGUUCAGUUUUGGUUGACCUCCUCCAUUAAUUCAAGCACUAAACUGCACUCCACCUCUCCUCCCAUUCAGCCUCAUUUACGCAGCCUUAUCAUCGUCUAAGGGAUGUCAAUGUUUAUGUUAGUUUGUUGCCAGUUUUUUCUUCGCUUAUGUGGUCUUUAGAAUUUACCUGGGAUGGAGCUAUGUUGGAGGUAGACUACUUUCUGCGGUUAUUACAUACGAUGAGAACGGAUGGUAUGUGGGUGAAGCCACCAGAGGUUUGCAUUUCAAAGUCUAUUCCUUUGUUAAUUUAGACAAUACAAACAAAAGUAACCCACAAGUUUACUCACUACAAAGUUACCACCAGUUUCCACAGUUUUUGUCAUUUGUGAAUCCUUGAAGUGGAUAUUUCUGAUCCUUAUACUUUCUAAGAGAUGUAAAAGUUGUGGAAGUAACUGUGAAUGCAAAGCAAAAUCUAUUUAAACACACAAGGAUGUGAACUAUAUCGACUAGACGUCAAGUGUUUAAGGAUAGUCUGCGAGGAGGAGUACUAAUUGCUCAAAACAUAGAUGUUUCUUUGGAUAAUUUCCCUUAUUUUCUAAGUGCUACUACGAAGAAUGUUCUAAAAGCAUGGAUGUCUGUCCAUAUGAAGGGUGGAAGCAAGUUCACAAAGGAUGUUUUAAAUCUGAUUGAAUCUGAUGCUAUGUUGCUAGAAUUGUUUGACCGUUAAAUUGAUAGAUUUAUUUUCUCA